ensembl:lncRNA
GCUACACCUUCCUCUCAGCCCAGAUUGAGUGAGAAUGGCUUGCCAGACUGCUCCCCUCUCUGGUUCUCCCUGAAACCUGGGAAGCCUGAAAGAACAGACUGAGUGGGCGUAGAGCUUAUAUUCCUAACCUCGCCUUGACUGACAGCUGUUUGAAACUCCCUUGUGGUCAUUGCCAGGUAACAAGUUUGGUUAAACAGGUUCGCCACCCUCAAGUCAGUGGCUGGGAGAGUCCCAGAUGAAGACAACGUCUGGACUGGGGCACGAAAAUGGCUGGUCCUGUUAAGACCGGACUCAACCGGAGUGGGCGGAGUCAACACCUCCCCAGCACCAUCACGCUGGCGAACAACAGAGGCUCUGUCCAUACUACGACAUGCCCUAACCGUGCAGGAACUGCAUCCAACUGGGCCUUCUGGCCUCAGCCUGCACAGCCAUCAUCUGUAAGAUCUGUAAAGACAACCCUUCCACAUCAGACUGUACCUACAACCAUCCAACAACACAAACAACCCGCUAGAAUGAAAUGAUCAAACCUGGACCACCCCAAUAACCCAUCACCAUGACCCCAACAAUACACUCAGAACAGAAAGGAACACUUCCCACUAGGGAAUCCAUCCAUAGACGGCAGAAGGUACGUACAGAGAGCUGCCCCCACGGAUGCACUGACCCGGAACACACUUACCAACUGUUUGUGAGCACUCCGUGGCCAGGUGGGUCUGGGCCCUGAUUGUAAC